rnacentral:rRNA from 1 species
UACGUAGGGUGCGAGCGUUAAUCGGAAUUACUGGGCGUAAAGCGUGCGCAGGUGGUCAUGCAAGACAGAUGUGAAAUCCCCGGGCUUAACCUGGGAACUGCAUUUGUGACUGCACGACUAGAGUGCGGCAGAGGGGGAUGGAAUUCCGCGUGUAGCAGUGAAAUGCGUAGAUAUGCGGAGGAACACCGAUGGCGAAGGCAAUCCCCUGGGCCUGCACUGACGCUCAUGCACGAAAGCGUGGGGAGCAAACAGG